AUACCCAAGCACAUUUUUGAGAUUAUCGUCUAUUUGGUAAUUCUGAUUCUUUUCAAAUUUUUUAUACUUGUUUUCAACUUAGUUUUUUAGAAGUGUGCAAAAUUUGAGUUAAGAUCAAUAGUUCAUUAAUUAAUUAUUGAGGUUUAAAUCUGUUUUUGAAAUUACUAGGGUUUAGUUAAGAUUUGAUUUAGGAUCAGGGUUUGAUUAGGGUUUGAUUUAGGAUUAGGAUUCAGUUAGGAUUUGAUUUAGGAUUUAAGAUUAGAAUUAAGGUUUGAUUAGGAUUUGAUUUAGGAUUAGGGUUUGGUUAGGAUUUGGUUAAAGUUUGAUUUAGGAUUAAGGUUUGGUUUAGGAUUUAGGGUUUGAUUAGGAUUUGAUUUAGGAUUAGGAUUUGGUUUAGGAUUUAGGAUUUGGUUUUCGAUUUAGGAUUAGAAUUAAGAUUUGGUUAGGAUUUGAUUUAGUGUUAGGAUUUGGUUAGGGUUUGCUUACGAUUUGAUUUAGGAUUAGGAUAUGGUUUAGGAUUUAGGAUUUGGUUAGGGUUUGAUUUAGGAUUAGGAUUUGAUUUAGGAUUAGGAUUUGGUUUAGGAUUUGGUUAUGGUUUGAUUUAGGAUUAGGAUUUGAUUUAGGAUUAAGGAUUUGAUUAGAAUUUGAUUUAGGAUUAGGAUUUGGUUAGGAUUUGAUUUAAGGUUUAGGAUUUGGUUUAAAGUUGGUUAAGAUUUGAUUUAGGAUUAGGAUUUGAUUAGGAUUUGAUUUAGGAUUAGGGUUUAGUUAGGAUUUGAUUAAGAUUUUAUUUAGGAUUAGAAUUUGGUUUAGGAUUGGUUUAGGGUUUAGGAUUUGAUUAGGAUUUGAUUUAGGAUUAGGAUUUGAUUUAAGGUUUAGGAUUUGGUUUAGGGUUUAAGGUUUGAUUGGGAUUUGAUCAAGAUUUGAUUUAGGAUUUAGGAUUUUAUUUGAAUUUAUUUAGGAUUUAAGAUUUAGUUAGUUUUUGGCCUAAAAUUUGAAUGAAAUCCAAUAAGAUUUCAACUAGGAUUAAAUUAAGAUUGAAUUGAGAUGUAUUUGAGAUAUGUUUGUAAUCAUUCUAAUAUUUAUUUAAGAUUUCUUGUUGUUUCUUUGGAAUUUCUUUGAGGUUUCUCUGAAUUUGAUUAAAGCUUAUUUAGCAUUGUUAAUGUUCUAUUAGAAUUAGGAUUUUGUUGUUGUAAUUUCUAUUCUACCUUCCACAGCCAGGUGCUUGGA
rnacentral:lncRNA from 1 species